GCGAGUUGGCGGGCGGCUUUCGAGCCGUUAAGGCUUGAGGAAACUCCGCCCACCAGCAGAACCGGGGCGCCCGCAAGGGCGCGGGGCGAGAGCCCUGGCAACGGAGCAGAAACGAAACGUCCACCCGUGCACGUGAAGAUGAGGCAUGGUAAGUUGCCGAGUUGAGUGUGCCGGGUGGAAGCGUUGAAACGGCCGUCCCCCGGGGUGGAAGGGCAAAUAGGCGUCGAUGAAGUUUCUGCCAGAGGCGCGGGUAGCCCGCUUAGCUGGAUGCCGCCUAAAACAGAAGGCGGGUUAUGGCCAACACGC
rnacentral:RNase_P_RNA from 1 species